UUAUUUAGCACACCCACUACAGGCCCACGAGAUCUCACGGUGUUCAUCUUUGGAGACAGUUCAUUGUCAACAUUAAAGUCAGACAUGACAGAGACAUCAGUA